rnacentral:lncRNA from 1 species
UUAUUUAUAUAUUUUAGUGUUAACAAUGUAUUUUAUUAUGAAAUUAGACACAUCUUAUUCAAAAUAAAUUCACAUUGACCAAUAGGAUUGAGUCCGAUUUAGAAACAAGCAAUGAAUACUUACCUUUAUCUGUCUACUUAGUAUGUUACAGACUAUUUUGAUGAAAACAUUGAUGAUUAAAUUAAAACUAAGCUAUUUCUAUAAGAUGCCCUGGUAUUCAAAAUGUCAAACAGUUCAAAAAGGGAAUUUUAUGAUACAACAAUGAGAGAAAAAAAAAUAAAAAUAGGCAACCAAUGAAAACUACCGGAAUUCACAUUCUAGUACCUUAAAAUGUGGCCAGGUUUAACAUGUUUGUAGCACUCAACCCCCCCCUUACCUGAGAGUUUGCUGAGGCUGAGACAGUGGUGUUAAUAUAAAAAAAACCUGUUAAAAUGCCCAGUUUCAUUCACACAAAAAUAACUAACAAAGAGACAAAAGAAACAAAGUACAUAUCUAAGAGUACAUACAGUACGGAAAACUAGUUCAAAGCCCAAUUUCCACUACUAAUAUAUAAACCAUGUUUCCUCAAGCAGGAAUAUGUUUGUCAGAGAUGAUGUAUACUGAUUAAAAAAGGGAUGGCA